ACUCAAAGGAAUUGACGGGGACCCGCACAAGCAGCGGAGCAUGUGGUUUAAUUCGAAGCAACGCGAAGAACCUUACCAGGGCUUGACAUCCCCCUGACAGCUUUUUAACAGAAGCCUCCUUCGGGCAGGGGAGACAGGUGGUGCAUGGUUGUCGUCAGCUCGUGUCGUGAGAUGUUGGGUUAAGUCCCGCAACGAGCGCAACCCUUGUCAUUAGUUGCCAUCAUUUAGUUGGGCACUCUAAUGAGACUGCCGGGGAUAACUCGGAGGAAGGUGGGGAUGACGUCAAAUCAUCAUGCCCCUUAUGUUCUGGGCUACACACGUGCUACAAUGGCCGGUACAGAGAGACGCAAAGCCGCGAGGCGGAGCAAAUCUCCAAAACCGGUCCCAGUUCGGAUUGCAGGCUGCAACUCGCCUGCAUGAAGUCGGAGUUGCUAGUAAUCGCGGAUCAGAAUGCCGCGGUGAAUGCGUUCCCGGGUCUUGCACACACCGCCCGU
rnacentral:rRNA from 1 species